rnacentral:rRNA from 1 species
CCUACGGGAGGCUGCAGUGGGGAAUAUUGGACAAUGGGCGAAAGCCUGAUCCAGCCAUGCCGCGUGUGUGAAGAAGGCCUUCGGGUUGUAAAGCACUUUCAGUGGGGAAGAAAGCCUUGGGGCUAAUACCCUCGAGGAAGGACAUCACCCACAGAAGAAGCACCGGCUAACUCCGUGCCAGCAGCCGCGGUAAUACGGAGGGUGCGAGCGUUAAUCGGAAUUACUGGGCGUAAAGCGCGCGUAGGCGGUCUGAUAAGCCGGUUGUGAAAGCCCCGGGCUCAACCUGGGAACGGCAUCCGGAACUGUCAGGCUAGAGUGCAGGAGAGGAAGGUAGAAUUCCCGGUGUAGCGGUGAAAUGCGUAGAGAUCGGGAGGAAUACCAGUGGCGAAGGCGGCCUUCUGGACUGACACUGACGCUGAGGUGCGAAAGCGUGGGUAGCAAACAGGAUUAGAUACCCCUGUAGUUC